rnacentral:rRNA from 1 species
AGGACGAACGCUGGCGGCGUGCUUAACACAUGCAAGUCGAGCGGAAAGGCCCUUCGGGGUACUCGAGCGGCGAACGGGUGAGUAACACGUGAGUAAUCUGCCCCUAGCUCUGGGAUAGCUCCGGGAAACCGGGAUUAAUACCAGAUACGACCACUUUAGACAUCUUCUGUGGUGGAAAGAACUUCGGCUAGGGAUGAACUCGCGGCCUAUCAGCUUGUUGGUGAGGUAACGGCUCACCAAGGCGACGACGGGUAGCCGGCCUGAGAGGGCGACCGGCCACACUGGGACUGAGACACGGCCCAGACUCCUACGGGAGGCAGCAGUGGGGAAUAUUGCGCAAUGGGCGAAAGCCUGACGCAGCGACGCCGCGUGGGGGAUGAAGGCCUUCGGGUUGUAACCCUUUCAGCAGGGACGAAGCGAAGUGACGGUACCUGCAGAAGAAGCGCCGGCUAACUACGUGCCAGCAGCCGC